rnacentral:rRNA from 1 species
UGCCAGACUCCUACGGGAGGCAGCAGUGGGGAAUAUUGCACAAUGGGGGAAACCCUGAUGCAGCGACGCCGCGUGAGUGAUGAAGUAUUUCGGUAUGUAAAGCUCUAUCAGCAGGGAAGAUAAUGACGGUACCUGACUAAGAAGCUCCGGCUAAAUACGUGCCAGCAGCCGCGGUAAUACGUAUGGAGCAAGCGUUAUCCGGAUUUAUUGGGUUUAAAGGGUGCGCAGGCGGAAGAUCAAGUCAGCGGUAAAAUUGAGGGGCGCACCCUCUCCGAGCCGUUGAAACUGGUUUUCUUGAGUGAGCGAGAAGUAUGCGGAAUGCGUGGUGUAGCGGUGAAAUGCAUAGAUAUCACGCAGAACUCCGAUUGCGAAGGCAGCAUACCGGCGCUCAACUGACGCUCAUGCACGAAAGUGUGGGUAUCGAACAGGAUUAGAUACCCUUGUA